GCAAACUUGGUCAUUUAGAGGAAGUAAAAGUCGUAACAAGGUCUCCGUUGGUGAACCAGCGGAGGGAUCAUUACCGAGUUUUCAACUCCCAAACCCCUGUGAACAUACCUAUCGUUGCCUCGGCGAGAGUAGCCCCAGGCGUUGGCGCAAGCCUUCGCCCUGGUAUCAGGCGCUCGCCGGAGGACCCAACUAAACUCUUGUAUUCUAAAGAAUCUUCUGAGUAACCAAAACAAAUAAAUUAAAACUUUUAACAACGGAUCUCUUGGUUCUGGCAUCGAUGAAGAACGCAGC
rnacentral:misc_RNA from 1 species